UCCUGCGUAGCUCAAUGGUAGAGUAGGUGACUGUUAAUCACUUGGUUGUAAGUUCGAGUCUUACCGCAGGAGCCA
rnacentral:tRNA from 1 species